rnacentral:rRNA from 1 species
ACUCCUACGGGAGGCAGCAGUAGGGAAUCUUGCGCAAUGGGCGAAAGCCUGACGCAGCGACGCCGCGUGCGGGACGAAGGCCUUCGGGUUGUAAACCGCUUCCAGCAGGGACGAAGCGAAAGUGACGGUACCUGCAGAAGAAGCGCCGGCUAACUACGUGCCAGCAGCCGCGGUAAUACGUAGGGCGCAAGCGUUAUCCGGAAUUAUUGGCGUAAAGAGCUCGUAGGCGGUUUGUCGCGUCUGCCGUGAAAGUCCGGGGCUCAACUCCGGAUCUGCGGUGGGUACGGGCAGACUAGAGUGAUGUAGGGGAGACUGGAAUUCCUGGUGUAGCGGUGAAAUGCGUAGAGAUC